rnacentral:rRNA from 1 species
AUUGAACGCUGGCGGCAGGCCUAACACAUGCAAGUCGAAUGGUAACAGGAAACAGCUUGCUGUUUCGCUGACGAGUGGCGGACGGGUGAGUAAUGUCUGGGAAACUGCCUGAUGGAUGGGGAUAACUACUGGAAACGGUAGCUAAUACCGCAUAACGUCGCAAGACCAAAGAGGGGGACCUUCGGGCCUCUUGCCAUCAGAUGUGCCCAGAUGGGAUUAGCUAGUAGGUGGGGUAACGGCUCACCUAGGCGACGAUCCCUAGCUGGUCUGAGAGGAUGACCAGCCACACUGGAACUGAGACACGGUCCAGACUCCUACGGGAGGCAGCAGUGGGGAAUAUUGCACAAUGGGCGAAAGCCUGAUGCAGCCAUGCCGCGUGUAUGAAGAAGGCCUUCGGGUUGUAAAGUACUUUUAGCGGGGAGGAAGGGAGUAAAGUUAAUACCUUUGCUCAUUGACGUUACCCGCAGAAGAAGCACCGGCUAACUCCGUG